UACGAAGGUGGCAAGCGUUACUCGGAAUUACUAGGCGUAAAGCGCAGGUAGGUGGUUGUGUAAGUCUGCUGUGAAAGCUCCCGGCUUAACUGGGAGAGGUCAGCGGAUACUGCAUAGCUAGAGUGUGGGAGAGGGUACUGGAAUUCCCGGUGUAGCGGUGAAAUGCGCAGAGAUCGGGAGGAACACCAAAGGCGAAAGCAGGUACCUGGACCAUUACUGACACUGAGCUGCGAAAGCUAGGGGAG
rnacentral:rRNA from 1 species